rnacentral:tRNA from 1 species
GGGGGUAUAGCUCAGGGGUAGAGCAUUUGACUGCAGAUCAAGAGGUCCCUGGUUCAAAUCCAGGUGCCCCCG